AGAGUUUGAUCCUGGCUCAGGAUGAACGCUAGCGGCAGGCCUAAUACAUGCAAGUCGAACGGUGAUAUUUAUAUCAUAGCGGCGCACGGGUGCGUAACACGUAUGCAACCUACCUAUUAUUGGGGGAUAGCCUUUGGAAACGGAGAUUAAUACCGCAUAAUACGAUUAACUGGCAUCGGUUGAUUGUUAAAGCAUUUGCGAUAAUAGAUGGGCAUGCGUCCAAUUAGUUAGUUGGUGUGGUAAUGGCUCACCAAGACGAUGAUUGGUAGGGGAUCUGAGAGGAUAAUCCCCCACACUGGCACUGAGAUACGGGCCAGACUCCUACGGGAGGCAGCAGUAGGGAAUAUUGGGCAAUGGGCGAAAGCCUGACCCAGCCAUGCCGCGUGCAGGAAGACGGCGUUAUGCGUUGUAAACUGCUUUUUUAUAGGAAGAAGGAUCCCUUGCGAGGGAAGGUGACGGUACUAUAGGAAUAAGCACCGGCUAACUCCGUGCCAGCAGCCGCGGUAAUACGGAGGGUGCAAGCGUUGUCCGGAUUUAUUGGGUUUAAAGGGUGCGUAGGCGGUUUAUUAAGUCAGUGGUGAAAGACGGUCGCUCAACGAUUGCAGUGC
rnacentral:rRNA from 1 species